rnacentral:rRNA from 1 species
AGAACGAACGCUGGCGGCAUGCCUAAUACAUGCAAGUCGAACGAACACUUCGGUGUUAGUGGCGCACGGGUGCGUAACGCGUGGGAAUCUGCCCUUGGGUUCGGAAUAACAGUUGGAAACGACUGCUAAUACCGGAUGAUAUCGAAAGAUCAAAGAUUUAUCGCCCAGGGAUGAGCCGCGUAGGAUUAGCUAGUUGGUGAGGUAAAGGCUCACCAGGCGACGAUCCUUAGCUGGUCUGAGAGGAUGAUCAGCCACACUGGGACUGAGACACGGCCCAGACUCCGACGGGACGCAGCAGUAGGGAAUAGUGACAAGU